GACGAACGCUGGCGGCGUGCUUAACACAUGCAAGUCGAACGGAAAGGCCCUGCUUUUGUGGGGUGCUCGAGUGGCGAACGGGUGAGUAACACGUGAGUAACCUGCCCUUGACUUUGGGAUAACUUCAGGAAACUGGGGCUAAUACCGGAUAGGAGCUCCUGCUGCAUGGUGGGGGUUGGAAAGUUUCGGCGGUUGGGGAUGGACUCGCGGCUUAUCAGCUUGUUGGUGGGGUAGUGGCUUACCAAGGCUUUGACGGGUAGCCGGCCUGAGAGGGUGACCGGCCACAGUGGGACUGAGAUACGGCCCAGACUCCUACGGGAGGCAGCAGUGGGGAAUAUUGCACAAUGGGCGGAAGCCUGAUGCAGCAACGCCGCGUGCGGGAUGACGGCCUUCGGGUUGUAAACCGCUUUCGCCUGUGACGAAGCGUGAGUGACGGUAAUGGGUAAAGAAGCACCGGCUAAGUACGUG
rnacentral:rRNA from 1 species